UUAACGGGUUCAGAUGAAGACGCAGGGCCCAGACCGAGCUGGACAUUAGGACGGAUGGUUGGAUCGUGACGAGAGACAGAGGCCGGGGGCCGAGCUCCCAGAGGGCCACAGUGCAAACCAGUGCUUCCUGUUCCACGCGACAGGGCGAAACCAACGCUACCCACUCAACAGCCCUUUAUUGCCUUCAUCUCGGACAUGCAUGUGCAGGAAAAACUCCCCCCUAUCAUCUCCUCCAGGGAGCAGUGUGCGAGUGGCCGGAAUUUGGACGAAACAAUCGGUUGGAAAUGAAAUGUUCCCCCGAGUUAAAAAGGACAUGAAACAGAAGUCAGUGGAUUGUGCAGUGACUAACCUCCCUGCUAUGCACCCACUCGCCUGGAAUGUGGAAUUGGGAAUCUGAAGGUUUAUUUUGGAUUGAUUUCGCUGUAGUAAUAUUUCCGAAACUGCUGCGUGUUUUCUUCUGCUCCAGAUUGAAGGAGAGGACAAUGCAUGUGCAGCCAUAUAAGGGUCGGUUCUGCUCCCGACAUCAAGCAUCUCUAUGUUCUUUGGCCACUUUCGUACCUCGGAAUCAAACAGAU